UACGUAGGGUGCGAGCGUUGUCCGGAAUUAUUGGGCGUAAAGAGCUUGUAGGUGGCUCGUUGCGUCGGGAGUGAAAACCUGCGGGCUUAACCGCAGGCCUGCUUCCGAUACGGGCGAGCUAGAGUUCGGCAGGGGAGACUGGAAUUCCUGGUGUAGCGGGUGGAAUGCGCAGAUAUCGAGGAGGAACACCGGUGGCGAAGGCGGGUCUCUGGGCCGAUACUGACACUGAGAAGCGAAAGCGUGGGGAGCGAACAGG
rnacentral:rRNA from 1 species